GACGAACGCUGGCGGCGUGCUUAACACAUGCAAGUCGAACGGAAAGGCCCUGCUUUUGUGGGGUGCUCGAGUGGCGAACGGGUGAGUAACACGUGAGUAACCUGCCCUUGACUUUGGGAUAACUUCAGGAAACUGGGGCUAAUACCGGAUAGGAGCUCCUGCUGCAUGGUGGGGGUUGGAAAGUUUCGGCGGUUGGGGAUGGACUCGCGGCUUAUCCGCUUGUUGGUGGGGUAGUGGCUUACGAAGGCGUUGACGGGUAGCCGGCCUGAGAGGGUGACCGGCCACAUUGGGACUGAGAUACCGCCCAGACUCCUACGGGAGGCAGCAGUGGGGAAUAAUGCACAAUGGGCGGAAGCCUGAUGCAGCAACCCCGCGUGCGGGAUGACGGCCCUCGGGGUGUAAACCGCUUUCGCCUGUGACGAAGCGUGAGUGACGGUAAUGGGUAAAGAAGCACCGGCUAACUACGUG
rnacentral:rRNA from 1 species